UACGAAGGUCCCAAGCGUUAUCCGGAUUUAUUGGGUUUAAAGGGUGCGUAGGCGGGUUAUUAAGUCAGUGGUGAAAGCCUUCAGCUUAACUGAAGAACUGCCAUUGAUACUGAUGAUCUUGAGUAUGAUUGAGGUGGGCGGAAUGUGUCAUGUAGCGGUGAAAUGCUUAGAUAUGACACAGAACACCGAUUGCGAAGGCAGCUCACUAAACCAUAACUGACGCUGAUGCACGAAAGCGUGGGGAGCAAACAGG
rnacentral:rRNA from 1 species